rfam:Oryza barthii chromosome 9, whole genome shotgun sequence.
AAAAACUUAAUUCCUAGGUUUCCAUGUCUAACGUUUGAUUGUCCGUCUUAUUUAAAAAAAUAUGAAAAAAUUUAAAAUGAUAAGUCAUAUAUAAAGUAUUAUUCAUGUUUUAUCAUCUAACAAUAAUAAAAAUACUAAUUAUAAAAAUUUUAUAUAAGACGGACGUUCAAACGUUGGACACGGAAACCCAAGAAUUGAGUCUUU